rnacentral:tmRNA from 1 species
GGGGCUGUAACGGUUUCGACGUUUUGGCGAACGCUACCCCGUGAUGCAGGUCGAGAGUGAGCACCUCUCGUGAAUCCAGGCUCAAAAAAAUAGAUGCAAACAACAUCGUUUCUUUUGCUCGUAAGCCAGCUCUUGCUGUUGCCUAAAUACCUCUAAUCGGUUCGAGCGUCUGUAAUUUGACUCCGUUAAGGAUUACGGACCAACCCCAACGGAUGCGCUAGUUCAUUGCCUCUGGUCGGUUGCUAGCUAAGACUUCACCAGAGCAUCCCACUGUCCGGGACAAGAGACAGUUCCCGCUUCGAGGGUCAGAGAAGCUAAACCUGUGAAAGAGCGGUGUAUUAAUACCCAAGGCGGACACGGGUUCGACUCCCGUCAGCUCCAUUC